rnacentral:rRNA from 1 species
UACAGUGGGGUGCAAACGUUGCUCGGAAUUAUUGGGCGUAAAGCGCGCGUAGGCGGUUACUCAAGUCGGAUGUGAAAGCCCUCGGCUUAACUGAGGAAGUGCACCCGAAACUGAGUAGCUAGAGUACUAAAGAGGGUCGCGGAAUUCCCGGUGUAGAGGUGAAAUUCGUAGAUAUCGGGAGGAACACCGGUGGCGAAGGCGGCGACCUGGGUAGAUACUGACGCUGAGGCGCGAAAAGCGUGGGGGAGCAAACAGGG